ACGCCUUUAAUUAAUGUAUGAUGUUUACAACGGGUGGAGAGUGAAAUUAUAAAGUCUGAAAAGUGUUGCAAUUUCACCACAGAUGGAUUCCCCGUAACGGGUCGGAUUAAUUUCACAGAAUCAGGUUAGUGAUCCUUCCUUCCUUCAAUUGAUGCACGAUUCAUUAAUUUAUUUGCAAUAAUUUCAUUCAUCAAAUUUAAUCUUGAUUUAGAUCGAAACAUACUAUGAAUUUGGCCAGUAAAACAAAAAGAUUAAAUUUUUAUUCGAAUCCAUUACAUAAUUGGCAUACGGGGAAACCCGAAUCACUAAUUUAAUGAAUUCGCAUGCAUAAACGAAAAUAAAGGGCAAAGACAGAGAAGCUUGAUCAGGUUCGCUUCCUUUUUAUUUGGCCACUGCAAGUUCUUUGUGAUCAACUCUUAUUGCUAUUCAUUCUGCUAUUUGCUUUUUCUUUUGCUUUUGCUUCUGAUCCUUCUUACUGCAACCAAAAGAAAACAAUAUGUAUUUAUAAGUUUGAGAUAAUUAGAGAUACCAAGCCACUUGAAAAUGCUUUAUAUUAGAGUGGAGUAUUUUUCAAUUAAAAAGGAUUCAUUUUUCCAUUUUGAUGAUCACAACAAUCAAUUGUUCUGUUAUGAAGGAUUGGAAUGUAAAACUGCCAUUUUUGAACCCCAUUGAAGGGGGGGGGGGGUCUUCUCAUAGAAUCUUGGCCUCGAUUUGUGUAGCAUUAUGCAAGUGCUUUCCUUUCUUGAAUGAAAUGUAUGUUUAUUAGAAUGUUUACUUGCGUGCAUUAUAAAAACGUAGCAUUAAACUGAUUUAAAGCAUCAAAGAAAAAUACCUAAAGUCUAUGGUUAUGUACCUCUGUUUCUGAUCAUCCAUGAGGUUGCAUCCUUCGACAUGGCCUACAAAUGGAAAGUAAUUGAGUUUGGGUGAUUUGCCGGCCUCAAUUAGCUUGAUGUCUUCCACAAGCUGCUCAUAGUGCCUCUUCACUUCCUCCACAGUCUUCCCACCUGUUUCCUUAGCCAGAUUGUGCCAGAAGUCUGGCGCGUCAUUGUCAUACAUAGCAAUUGCAUUCUCAAACCGAUUGUUUUGCUCGUAAGUCCAGGUUGAGGAGGAUGCCAUGAUACUAGAAUGCACUAGUUCUAGCUACCUAUGAGAAGAAUGAUGAAGGAUAUGAAAUAGAGAAUGUUGUGUGUAGAGAAGCCUGCUAUCGCUUCUCUAUUUAUAGAAGUGGGUGGAAGAGAGAGAACAGUGUAGUGGGCCUGAGUGGCGCUUUUCCAGCUGCUGGUCGAUCAUUGCAAAUCAGGGGGAAAAUUGUAAUUUUCUUUCAAUUUCCAGGUAAAACAUGGAUACCAGAUAAGACUAUUUCACCAAAAACAUAUUCACCACUCAGCCUUCUCUUCGUUCUGGAAAAACGUGUUCUUAAUUUCAUUAAACACCUUCUCAUCUCUUCCUUGUAAUGUAAGAAAAUAUAAUUCAGGUGGGGUCACAAUAAAGAUUCGGCGAGUCUAGUGGCUAUUUUAAGAGUUCAAGUGCUCAACGUGGCCUAAUUCUUAUUAUUUUAUUUCCUAGUGAUAUCAAGCUGUGCAUCUUUAUUUGGCCUAGUCUAAAACGUGACGGUUUUUGUACUUUUCCACCAGAUUCUUAAGCGUUGAACAAGGAUCCAAAUAAUUUUUAGCUAUCUUGGUGUGUUCGUACCUUGGCUGUAUCUGGUGCAGAUAAGUUCAUAUAGGUAUGUUAUUAUCUCUGUUACUACUCGACAACCUUUACCGCGAUAAUCUAGUUCAGCAUCUUUUUCUUUUUAAAUUCUGUGGGUAAGCAAUUAAUUAAAGAUUUUAAGUAUAAUGUUGAUAUAGAUGUGUAAUUGAUUAGCCUUCGUGGAAAUAUCCUGGCUUUCUGUGUACCGUUUAAGUUUACAUAAUUACAUUUAAUGUUUUCUCUCUUUUAUCCCUGAUGUUUAUUCUCUCACUGACUACUUCUUGAACUUGUAAUAGUUGUUUGGUGGAGUAAAAACACUUUUGAAAUUAAAUACGGAAAUGCUUUAGUGUUUGGUGUCUCUCUAAAACUGCUUUUAGUGAGUAGAGAUAUUAGCAAAAAAACACUUUUAGAAAAAAUAGAAAAUUUAUGCUUUUGGCAAAAACACUUUUAGCCGAAACAAAAUUUACAAAUUUGUCCUUAAAUUGUUGAAGAAAAACUUAAAGUUUUACAACACACUUUUGUAUAAAUUUAAUCUUCUACUUUUUCUAAGGUACUUUUACAAUUGUAUAAUCAAACACUAUUUUAACUUUCUUAGGAAAACACUUUUGUCAAAAACUCUACAUUUUAAAGUAUUUUGUCUCACCGCCCUACGCCACACAGAUCCGCCAAAUAGGCACCUAGUAUUGUUUGGCUACUUUUUGUGACUAACCAAAAUCCCAUCAAUGUAGUAGAAUAGAACCCUUGGUACCUGGCAAACUAUUGGUAUUACUGCUUGGAUAUAAAUUAUGUUGUAUAAUGAUGCAAUAUGCAUUUAGACAAUUAUGUUUACUUUUAAAUGAUAUUAGUGACUGUCUUUCUCAUGGACUAAAUAUUUACACAUUUCAUCAUUUAGUCAGGCAUAUUAGAAAAUUAACCAUUAAUAUGAGCAUUAGAUUGGUUUAUGUUGCUAUAAUGUUGUGCUGGAACUAGGAGGCAAUAGAGUUUAAGGAAAGAUUUAUGUCAAUCUGUUUUUAUCACAAUCACGUAUGUAUAGUCUCCACUCAUAAAGUUAACAAGGAAUAUUUGCAGCAUAGGUCCUUCAGGUAAGCUAAAUAGUUGAGCAUAGUGGGCUUGCAUUGUGUUACUCUCUUAAAAGACAUUUCUAUCUAGCUUUUACGGCGAUGGGAAGAUUAUAAUUUCAUCUACAAUAUCAGCUAAUUUAGAGGUAUUGGUGCUUACUUUAAAAUUAUAAGAUUAGGAAAUCAUCUAGAAACUAUUGGAGCACUUCAUGCAAUAUGGUAAAUUUAUAUGGUAUAACAUCUAAUAUUUAGUUGUAAUAUUAUCCAAUCAAAUGACUAUAAGCAUGGGCCACUUGCUGUGAUAACCUUUGACGAUAUUUAUAAAAACAGGAUCUUUCAUUUUGGACCAUGCUCUGAGUAGAAUAUUAAAAGGACGGAAGCUCAAAGAAAACUAAUAUUAUAUUUGAGGCUAAAAGACUUUAUUCAUGGCUCUUAUUUUAUUUGGAUAUUUCAGUUCCUUUUUUCCCAGAAGACAUUUGGAUUAGUUAAAUAUUCCAUCAGAUCUGUAUUUUCGCUUGCUCAUAUAUUUUCUCUUCACUGCCAAAUAUUUGCUCAUCACUCAUAAUGUAUUCUAUGAAUUGAAAACUAUGAACCUUUGACCAUAAUUGAAAAACCAAAAUAGAAGUUAUCUGAUGGUUGGUCUUUAGUAUCAAUUCAUAUGCAAGAGUUCAGGUGCUUGAACACCUUGGUGAAUGCCCCCCUGUACAUGUAUAUGAAGAUGUUGUACUUGACAAAAGAAAGAUAGUUUACAUGAUCAUCAAGCUGAGGUAUGAAUUCCCAUGUUGGUGACAAGUAGAAAUUUAUCCUCAUGGAUACCUUUCCUCUCUCUUUCACAAGUUUUUAGAGCCUCUUUUUUUUCCUUGUUGCCCUCCACUGCAAGUUGGAGCUCGUUGCUCACCUUUGGCUCUUAUGAAAUAUAUUGGCUGAAUGGAUAUUCUUUAUUAAUAAGACUUGAUGUGUUCACUAUAAUUAAAUGAUAUGAAAGGAGAAUCAAUGUCUUUUAUAAGAAUAAAAAAGAGAGACAGCAUUUUGAAUGUAGACGACAUUUAGAGGAAUACAUAGGACAUGGAAUGCAAUUAAGAGAAUUGCUAAUACACUGAUUAAAUUCCAUGUUAAAAUAAAGGAAUAGUUUAGAUGAUUGAAUAGAUGGAGAUUGGAAGAAAACUAGAAAAAGGUAUCUCCUAUACAUGUCGAAAGAUGUAAUUCUUUUGCAGAAUAAGUACAUAAAUAGGGAAAAAAUAAAAAAAAAUAAAAAUCGAAAGUACUUUUCUUCUUCUUCUUCUUCAUUUUUUUGUUGGUUAAUUGAUCUCUCAAGAGUUGAAUGUAGCAUUUUUCUAUUGGUUUCUUAGCAGUUGAACUAGCACAAUUCCUUAAGCAUUAAAAAGAAUUGCGUCUUAAUCUAGUUCUCGAGUUAUUGCCUUGAUUCAUGGCUAACAUGCUCAGUAGACAUCUGGUGAUCAGCGAUGGAAUGGAAUUAUGGAAUUUUAAUGAGAACUGUUGGAGAUAAAAUAGAUGGAAAUUGUUGUUAUCUUAUUGCAAAGAGUACUAAAGCCUUAUAUAGGUUACUAGUUGAGUAUGGCCCAAGAUUGUGUGGGCACCAAGUAUGUGUGGGCACCAAGCAUACUUGAUGACCAAAUUCUAAUAAUAAUAUACUCUAAUAUUUCUCCUCAAGUUGGAAGUCUUAUUUCACGACUUACAACUUGUUACCUAACAAAAUAAAAGACUCAAAAACAACUACGAAGAACUCCUUGCCUAAUAAUAAUAAUAUAUUCUAAUAAUCACCCUCAAAUUGAAAGUCUUAUAUCACGACUUACAAGUACGACUUCCAACUUGUUAUAUAACAUAAUCUUAAAAAUAAAAGACUCAAAUCAAUUACGAAGAUUGAGGCGCUCUUCAAUUUGCAUAGAAAAAAAAAGAUUGAUUUUUUAUGUCCAAAAUUAGAUUUCUCACCCUUGGUAUAUAACUUCAGACAUCCAUUUUCUAUGUACUAGCAGUAACGGAGAACACUCGUCUCCCACAACAAAUGUGAAGGACUCUCUAUCUUUCAAAAACAAUUACGAAGGACUCCUUGCCUUCAUAAACAAUGGAGAACUCUCUAGCCUCCCAAAAAAUUGAAGGACACAUUCCUUCGUGAAAUCUCGGCCCCAUGCAAUCCUUACUUUCCAAUUAACCAUCCAUUAACAUAUUCAAGGACAAACUAUUUUUUUUUUUCAUCACAAAAACAAACAACGACUACGAAUUUUUUAUAUUUUAUUUCCUCUAAAAAGACAGAAAAAGAACUGCGGAAGAAAAGAUACCGCCGGCGGCGGCGGAAGCAAGACUUCUAGUUGGCCAACUAGGUCUAAUACCAUGUUUGAGAUAGAAUAGAUGUAUUGAAUAUUGUUGUUAUCUUAUUAGAAAGAGUACUAAGGCCUUAGGCUACUAGUAGUUGAGUAGGGGCUCUAAUAAGAACCUUUUCAAAUAUCUGAAAGGUGAGUGCUCAAGAUACAUCAUGCUACUGAUGUUUAGAUUCACUUAUCAUUGUUGUUCAUUUCAGGUAUAAACUUCUAUUCUCUAUCAAAAGCUUUCUAGACCUCAUUUAUUUUCUUUGUGGACCUUCAUACAAGUUGCAGAUGGCUGCCUUGGGCUUCUAAUGGUGCAGGUGUAGAGUCGUGGUGUGUCCACAAAUUCAUCCAAGCGAUUUGGAGAUUCAAAUAGUUUGCUGAGAUCUUUUCUUUUCCUUUAUUCUUUUCUGGUUUAGGUUUGCUAAUAUCUCACCUAGACAUUUAGCAGUCAAAGAAGUUACAAACCUAAUAUGUGCGAAGUAUGACAUUUUCAUAUUGAUUCUACUUGCCAAAAGGUUUGAUUGAUGGAACAGAAUUCCCCUAGAUUAAAUUUGUAGGUGUAUUUGAUCAUGUGCUUACCCUAUCCUUCUUUAUUUAAUUAUUUACAUAUAUAAUGUUAUUUUACUUUUUAAAGUUGUUAGUUACUGUUUCAACUCAUUAGAUUGGAGGGAGAAAAGGUAGUCAUUUCAUAUAAACUUUCCUCUUCUUAUUUUUUUUUGCAGGGAAAUUAUCUGCAAUCACUGUAGGGCUUCACACACUAACUAGAUGUUAAAUCCUUCAUAUCUCGUGAAGGAGAAACUCUUUCUGGUUUUGCCUAUAAGCUGCGGUAGGAAACUUUUGCUUUUGCAGUUUAAGGUCUGAGCAUAAUUUGAUGAAUUUGUAGUUUUAUGAAAAAAGGCACUGGUAAAAAUAGUGACAAUUUACAUUCAAUAAGACUGUAGCUCAAUUUUGAACAGUAGCACAAAAACAUUGAAGAAUUUUCCGUUGAGCUUAUUGAGAGAAUAUUGUACACUACACUAUUAUAAAUGAAAAAGCUAAUGUUGUUGAGACUAGAUGUUGAAAGAAGCCAGGCCAGCCUCCUUGGUGUUGUCUCAUUUUAACUUCUAUAAGAUGCUGUUUAGUUGUUAUAUGUUUGAAAUACAAAGAAAGCUUAUUCCUUUUGUUUUCCCAGGUAAAAGUAUUUCCAAUGUUUAUAUUUUUUCUGUUUCAGCAUCAUAUAAAGUGUUUUUACGGUCUGAUGGCGGCCUGGACAGGUAAAUUACGUUACACAAACUGUUUGUGUAUGAGUGAGAAGGCAGGCGCCCUUAAAUGACAUAUUUAUCUUACAAGAAGGAUAAACAAAUUUGUAUCUUUAGUCAUCUCUCUUUUUGUCAUUUUCCCUUCUUUGGAAAUUCACUAAAUCUGCAAUGGGACGUUAAUUCGGUCUUCUGUAUAUAGCUGGCUCUACCAUCAAACCCCCACCCCCCACUCACCAUAGAUUGGUUUCUACUUCCCACCAUCAAUCAUUUGCAAAACAGAUUGGUUUGCACGGGUUAAUUGAGCUUUCUAGUCAUUU
rnacentral:lncRNA from 1 species